rnacentral:lncRNA from 1 species
AAAAAAUAAUAAUAUCAUUUCAACUUCUUUAUAAUAGGAAACCUGGUAUGGGAACAACCUGUGGGAAAUUCAAUGCAGCAAAGAACAGAGCUGACCAAGAGCAGUCUGUUUCUGGCUAUGACCCUGGACUGCUUGAAAGUUGAAGUGACAGAGAGGAAAAGAAAAAAAAAAAAAAGAAGAAGAAAAAAAAAUGAUAUGCCAACAGAGAACUAGAGAGGAAGAUUUCAAAUGCAGAAGAAAAUGGGAAGAAGUUGUAUGAUUGAUUUUCUGUGAAAAUAAUUUUCUAUAUUCCUUUUUUCACCUCAUUAAAAAAAAACAAAUUUCUCCCUCCAAUCCAACACCAGCCCACUCAGAGGCUAAAUUACGCAUAGGCUCUGAGCAUUAUGCUGACUGACAUGAGCAUCUUUCACUGCUGGGGUGCUAUGGGACAGCAGGUGAGAUGUUCCUAAAAUUCACAGAGGCUCAGGUUCAUUUCACACCACUGAAAAACUCCCAGGAUGUUACUAGUGUCAUGCUAGUCUAAAUUUGGCAUACAUUAUCAAAGCCCUGUUAUUAACUCACCCAAAAUGUAGUUUUUGAUUUAUUUGGGAUUUGGUUCAGGCAACAGUGAUUUUAUAAUCUAGAUAAAUUCUUGAAGACCCAUGAAUUCAAUAGUGCUAUAGAUACAGAAAAUAACUAUUUAUUACUUUACUACUAAAAACAAACAAACAGAAAACUUUGAUAUAUUAUUAGGAGCUGCUCCUUUGUGCUCCAUUAAGAAAGAGACACAUUAAUGCCAAUUUAAACAGUUUGCAAUAGAAGUUGCUAAACAAAAAAUGUGUGAAAUCUACCUUUAAAGUAGCUUCAUAGCAAAUUAAUUACAUCUAGAAGACAGAACAAAGUAUAAAUUUCUGUGUACAAAAUAUAGUCUAAUUCUGAAAAUGAAAGAAUAGUCAAGAGAACGUUCUUUGACCAAAACCAAAGUUUUGGAAAGAGACAGCUGUUUUGCAUAAAAACUAUUUCAAUCAAAGUCAACUCUCAGGCACUUUCAUGUAACCUUGGCUCUGAUAAGCUCUUAAUUUACAAUUUUAGGAUUAUUGUUAUAUGCAACCUGUUA